GACGAACGCUGGCGGCGUGCUUAACACAUGCAAGUCGAACGGAAAGGCCCUGCUUUUGUGGGGUGCUCGAGUGGCGAACGGGUGAGUAACACGUGAGUAACCUGCCCUUGACUUUGGGAUAACUUCAGGAAACUGGGGCUAAUACCGGAUAGGAGCUCCUGCUGCAUGGUGGGGGUUGGAAAGUUUCGGCGGUUGGGGAUGGACUCGCGGCUUAUCAGCUUGUUGGUGGGGUAGUGGCUUACCAAGGUUUUGACGGGUAGCCGGCCUGAGAGGGUGACCGGCCACAAUGGGACUGAGAUACGGCCCAGACUCCUACGGGAGGCAGCAGGGGGGAAUAUUGCACAAUGGACGGAAGCCUGAUGCAGCAACGCCGCGUGCGGGAUGACGGCCUUCGGGUUGUAAACCGCUUUCGCCUGUGACGAAGCGUGAGUGACGGUAAUGGGUAAAGGAGCACCGGCUAACUACGUG
rnacentral:rRNA from 1 species